UAUUAGCGCACCAUUUUUAUUUUACCUUUAUUGAACUAGGCAGAUUUCUAGACUCUGUCAUAUCCUGCUGCUGAACUCUGGAAAUUAUUGGCCACGUUCCCAGCAGCGCAGGGUCUUGGCUAGAAGGGAUCCAGCUUUUGUCAAAUUAACUUUUAAAGUAUUUUUUAAAGCAUUUUACCUAACCCUUUUCCUAACCUUAGCCUAAUUCUCCUAACCUGCUAUGUUAAUUAUAUUAACCUGCUGCGUAAGUUCUAACCUGCUACGAAAAGUCAAAUCGGACUUUAAUUUGACAAAAGCUGGAUCCCUUUUAGCCAUGACCGCAGCGCAGCCUCCUGGGGCUGAUUCAGCCAAUGCUCCCACCCAGGAAUCCUGGACGUCUGACAGCAACCAGUCCAGACUCUCUUUCAAGGCCACACUCCGUCAGCCUCUCCCGGGCCGUGGCCCAGAGUCCGCCCUCCCUCCCAAGGCUGUCUCCCAUCUUUAUGGAGCGCCCAGAAAAACAGCCACUCUCUCUCCUAAAUAACAAUUUCUCAAAACUGCCUGCCACACCCCAUUUUCUUUCUCUCCCCCCUGACCUCUCCCGCCCCUUAUGGUCAUCCCUAACAUUUCACACAACAGAACUCUUUCUCAUGUUAGUCUGGAAGCAGUUAAAACCAUCCUGUUAGAUGUGAAGGCCAAGGUUAAAUGGGAAAAGUUUAAUGGCAACAUUUGCAUAGAGCUUUUUCAUGUUGAAACAAGUAUUUUUUAGACUUUGUUAGAGCAUGUUUGUAUUAAAUAUCAGUUUUCAAUUA